rnacentral:lncRNA from 1 species
GCAGUACAUACAGCUUCGCUGAGGUCUGUGUGUCAAACUUACUGAGAGGAGGACAUCGUGGAGACUUAUCGUUAAUUAGCAAUGCUUAUGCAUGCAAACCUUGGUCAGAUGAUGUUGUGUUUGGAGAAAAGAGAGAAGAGAAUUGAAUAAGUACAUGACCCCUUGGAAGCUGUUUUCAGUUGAGGAUUUUGUUGUGUUGAUGUUCCUUUCAGCUGGUCCUAUAGUACCCCUCCUCAGGAAUGUCUCCCCAGUGCAAGGACAAAGACUGAAGAGACUGCUAUAUUGAUGGACUCUCAAGCCAACUAUGAAGUUGAAACAAAGAAAGUGAUCACCUGAAGACACCUCCUCUGCUAAGAAACACCCCCAAAUUGUGCAGCUUCUGCCACU